AACCUGGCAACCCUACCUACCUGCCUUGUCCCAUUUCCUUUAGUCACCUUAGUACUGUUCUUCCCCACCCACAUAGAAUAAAGCCCUUCCUUAUUUUAAGCACUAUCAAGUUUCUUCUGAGCCCUGUUUUCUGAUUAGCCCAUUCUUGCCUCAGUUCACUCUCUGCUCUGCCGUUUUCGUCAAUCCUUCCUCUUCCCUUUCAUUUUCUGUUUCUUCAGGUUUCUCUUUCUCAGUUUAUUGCCUUCACCACCACCCCACUUCUGAGAUUCCUGCCCUUUCCUGUGUCCCCAAACCACCUCCCAAUCCUCAGCUUGGCCCAAUGCAAAGUUGUAAUCUCUGCCAAGUGGAUAACUUUCUCUUCCUCAGAGAACUCGGCCUGAAAACUGCUCAGUUUCCUGAGCAAAGGAACAUUCCAUGCGGCUCAGCCAAUCAGUGCCAAAGGGUUAUCUGUCACAACUGCAAUACAAUAUAGAUAGAAGAAAAUGAUUCCUGGUCUAUUUUGAGUGAAUGCACUUUGACAACAGAGCAAUAAGAAAUGUACUGAGCAUUGGAUGACCUCAAUUUCAGCCUUCCAUCUUCAUAAAUGUUUGAUGUGAUAUGACAUCAUGAAAAAUGUGGGAAGCAUUGAAUGUGGGAAGAAGUGCUUAUUGUGGUUGCAGAUAUGUCUUUCAUAAUUAUCUGUAGACUCUGAAGAUUGAAUGCCUUGACAUCACAGCACUUAAUACUCUUGGGGUGGACUGCCUCCCCAGUACGUGUUUAACAUGUCCAUGUAUAAACUGCUAAUCAAAAAUAUCAAAAUUUUGCAAAAUAAAAGGCAAAGUUUGCAAUCAGUAAAAUAUUUUAAUAUAAUACAUAACAAAUAUGUUUACUCUGUACAAUUUAGUCUUGCUUUUGAACUGGAGGUGUCUGGGGGUGAGUAAGUGAAGGAUUUUAGAUUAUGUGACAACAUUCAAUGGGUUUUAUUGUCCUAAAUGGUAAUGGUACACCCUGAGAAUGUAGAUUUUGUCUGUGUUCCAUAUCAAAUAGAGCUGCACUUGAAAUUCUGCUUACUGCUUUGACUGCAAAUCUGCUGCAAAUAAGUAUGAAACACAGAACUUUGCAUCUCAAUUAUUGCCUUAUUCACAUUCAGUUGUUUAUACACCAUAACACAAGUUUAUUUGUGUCUGCUUAAGCUUUGUUGAGUGUUUAAUUUAACCAUUGUACAGUUCAGAGGUCUUAUUUUUGUUCAUACCUCUAGGACGCUUUCCAUUUAAUAAAAUAGCCUUUCUCACCUUAGAAGAAUUAACCACUGGGGAUCAUUUCAGACCCAAAUGCCAUCCCUCUAUAGUUUAUUACAGUAUUUAUUGCACUUGGUUGCACUUAGUUCCCAUUAAA